AGAACCAGUAAAGAGCAGCCAUCUGUUUACUUAUCUCCUCCUCAGAUACUGACUAACACAGCUACCCCUCUGAAACCUGAAGUCAAUGGGAAUCUUUGGAUCAGGCCCUCACUGCUCUAGAAGAAGCUGAAACCUCCUGAGCCCAAAGUGUAUGUGGCAGGGGUGACAAGAAGAGGGAACACUUCACAACGAAGGGAACAGAUUAAUCAACACACUAAAGCAGCACAAACCAGUCAGAGAGCACCAACCAGUUAAGCUGGGUUUAUAGCUGCUCUGCAUCACCUGAGCAGCACAAAGCAGGGACAUCUAAGAGUCAAUUGCCGCCUAUGGAAUCCUUGAAUGCAUCCUCCCCUUCCUAGAACUCCAGUGAGGAGAAAGCUGAGUAAGUUGCAGAUUUUCACUGGCAGUGAACUAAAUCAGCAAGCAUGUUUUAUUAAUCAAGAAAGGUACAAAUACAACCAAACAUUAGAGUUGUAUGCAUUUGUUUAAAAUGGAAAUGAACAGGCACACCAGAUACAGCCCUUAGGCUCCUGGCAAGUUGUCAAUGUAGCUCUCAGUGUAAUGUACAGAUUCUCCCCGCACACCCAAGGUCAGACUCAGAGGCAGGAUGCAGCAUGUUUUAAGAGAUGUGAUCAGAGUCAGAGAUAUGGCAAAACGCCCCACCCCAUGCCCCAAGAAGCAGACAAGCUAAAAGCGAACUGCAGCACAAAAAAUAAAAAUGAGUUAAUUCCAAAUUUCUGUGCUAUGUGCUGCUAACCGGACCAUGUUGAGGGAAGGGGGAUUUCAGAAUAUAAAUAAAUCUGAAUUAGCCAUUAAAAAAUUCUUUUGUUUGGUCUGGUACUUCUUGAUUCUUGCAGCACUCUCAAAAUAUGACAUCACAAAUACCAGCAGUCUCACUGCAACCUCUGGUAUUUGUAAUUCUGGAUACAAUAAGUGAACCAGGAAGUGCCAAGAGGAUUUCAUAGAGCAAAUAAAGCAUUUUGAAAGGUUAAAACUUCCAUACCAUAGGUUCCCCACAGCCUGGUUACUAACAACAUUCAGUGGAUAAAUCUGGGAUUAACUCAGUUUUCAUUUUUGCUUUAUACUCCACCUUAAGGAAAAGAAAGAUACCAGCUUGCAGAUCUUUACAUCUCUCCUGUUUAGUGAGGAAUGAAAGACAAACUAGGUGAAACCCUUAGCCUACUGACAUGUUUUCAGUGUGGCUCUCAGUGUAAUGUACAGAUUCCCGCCACAGUCUCUUUGAUCACGAGAGUCAUAAAUGGGGCAAUAUGGUAGAUACUUGUUUAUUAUCAAAAUAUGUUUGGCACGUUAUAAUACAGAAAAUAAAGACAGCUCCUGCUUCAAAGAAUUUAUAUCUGAAGUACUAGGUGUGAUCAGAGCAUACUGGUUAGCAUAUGUCUAACACAGGCAUAAUCCACUUUCAGGGGAUUAAAGCAGUUAAUAAUUCCUUUGGAAUUUAAACUAUAGGAUUUUAGACAACAAUCCUGCAAUGAGGGAUACAGUGCCCUAGUUGCAAAAUCUCUUGUCUCUGAGAAUCUGAAAUGGAGCAUGAGAACACCCAGGGAUCCAUCCCUAUAUUCCAGAAUAUAGUUGGAAAUUGGAAACAAUGACACCAAAGCCUCAUCAGUGUUAAACUGUAAACUGGAUCAGAGUGGUGAUAUUCUAAAUUGCACAGAACAGACAGCCAAUGUGCAGCAAUGUAAUAAAGUGAGUGAAGUCACCGAGAACUCACACUCCUCCCAUUCUGGAUAAAAUACACCCAACACUCAGUUUCGGAGCUAGUGGGCUCCAUUCUCAAUCAGCUUCCAUAAUCUGUGCAGACAGUUUGAAGGAGAACAGAAGGUGAGCCAGUAGGCGUUAGGAUUAAGCCUGGUGGAUGGGGAGGAAACUGAUGUCAGACAAACUCCUGCAUAAACUGUCAGAGGAGAGCAAGAGCUGGUAAAUCCCAUGAAUCUUUGUCCACUCACCUAGUUGCCAGCAGUAGCUAGAGGGGCAUUAAACAGACAUGGACGGAUUAUUUCCUUUGGGCUGGACUGACUUUACAUCCAUUCUAUCCACUUAAGACAUUUAAAACACACCAAUACACCAGUGGAAUAGUCAGAUUCGGCUAUCAAAGUUGGCUGAAAUAAGAUCCCUAUUAAGGAAAAGGGAGAAAAAACUGCCCCCUCAGGCUCUGCAUUGCAGCUGUCAACCAGAAUAAUGCCUUCUCUGAUACUAGGAUAUGUCUACACUGGCAGAGUGACAGUGUUGCUCAGAGAGUGCUGAAGGGAAACCGCUCUUGUGUGUUCAGCUGCCUGAGCAAUAGCAUGUUCACUCUUGUGGCACUUGCAGCGGUAUUCAGAGCGGUGCACUCUAGGCAGCUAUGCCACAGAGCAUCUCCUCCUCUUCUGCUGCUAAGAGCUGUGGGAAGGCGGAGGGUGUGGCAGGGCAUCUUGGGUCCUGUCCCAAUACCGCAUGAUGCAUUGCUUCGCCUCCCAGCAAUCCGUGAUUCUGUCCGCAUUUGGCACCAUCUUUCAAUGGUUUGUGUACUGCGCGCCCUGCCUCUUCGGUCUGCAGGAACAGAUCCUGAACUGUUGACUAGUAUGCUGCUCGCACUGACCAACACGUCACGAGUGGCAGUGGCAUUAUUCCUUAAACUACAAAGGCAAGAGGAGUGCGACAUUGAUCUCUCCACACAUACUAGCUACGACACGAGAUUGCUUGUGGCAUUCAUGCAGGUGCUGACCACAGCGGAACGCCGCUUUUGGGCUCAGGGAACAAGCACUGAGCAAUGGGAUCACAUCGUCAUGCACGUCUGGGAUAACGAGCAGUGGCUGCAGAACUUUCAGAUGAGGAAAGCCACAUUCAUGGGACUGUGUGAUGAGCUCGCCCCAGCCCUGCAGCACAAGGACAUGAGAAUGAAAGCUACCCUGUCGUUGGAGAAGCGCGUGGCAAUUGCACUGUGGAAGCUGGCUACUCCAGACUACCGACUGGUUGCUAACCAGUUCAGAGUGGGGAAGUCAACAGUUGGACUCAUGUUGCUGAAAGUGUGCAGGGCCAUUAAUCGUAUUUUGCUCCAAAAAACCAUGACUCUAGGCAACGUGCAUGACAUUGUGGAUGGCUUUGCACAAAUGGGCUUCCCUAACUGUGGAGGGGCAAUAGAUGGCAUGCAUAUUCCAAUUCGGACACCAGACCACCUAGCACAUUAAUCACAAGGGGUAUUUCUCUAUGGUUUACUAGGCGCUUGUGGAUCACCGUGGGCAUUUCACGGACAUUAACGCAGGCUGGUCCGGAAAGAUGCAUAACACACAGUGUUCUUUCGGAACACUGGCCUGUUCAGGAAGCUGCUAGCAGGGACUUUCUUCCCAGACGAGAAGAUCACCGCAGGGGAACUCGAAAUGCCCAUUGUGAUCCUAGGAGACCUCGCCUACCCCUUAAUGCCAUGGUUUAUGAAGCCAUACACAGGGCAACUUAACAGCAGCAAGGAGCGGUUCAACAACAGGCUGAGCAAGUGCAGAAUGACUGUUGAGUGUGCUUUUGGCCGUUUAAAGGCCCGUUGAUGCUACCUAUAUGGGAAGCCGGACCUGGCCAAUGACAAUAUUCCUAUGCUUAUAGCUGCAUGCCGUACACUCCAUAAUAUUUGUGAAGGGAAGGGUGAAAGCUUCACUCAGGGCUGGACCACUGAGGCUCAGCGCCUGGAGGCUAAAUUUGAACAGCCAGAAAUCAGGGCUAUUAGAAGGGCGCAGUGUGGGGCCAUAAGGAUCAGCGAUGCCUUGAAGCAGCAAUUUGAAGCUGAAUGCCACUAAUUUUUGUUGCUAUGCUUGAGAGUGUAGUCCUUGUAAUGCUAGGAAAUUAUUGUGAUUGGUGCAGAUGAUGCAAUAUGAAGGUUUAAGGUAACUGCCUGUUGCUUUGCAGGACUCUGUUUGCUUUCAAUUAAUAGAAUAAAGAUUGCUUUCAAACCAACACAACGCUUUUAUUAAAAAAAAAACAACUGGAGGAGAGCGACAACAACAACAACAAAAAACACAUCAGCACUGAGCAGGACGGGAGGUCCCAGGAGAAAGUGGGGUCCUGGGAUGGUUAAAGAUUUUUGUAUGUACAGGGAUCAUAUCCAGCCUUCUCCUUUGGAGUACAGUGCAGCAGGUACCGUACUUCAACAGGGAUAAACUGCAGAGGGACGGGUGUUGAGUUCAGUGGGUACUGGGAGUCCGCAGACAUGGACUGUGACGGGGGAGAAGUGGAAUGCCGCAGGUACAGACUGAAGCCAGGAGGUUGUUAAGAGUGUUUUGACAGUGUCCGGGGGCUGCAUGGGAAAGAAUUUUGCGACAGCGGCUGCACAGGAGAGCAGGCACAUAGUUGCUCAGUUUGCAGUGCUAAUAUCGCCUGGAGCAUGUCUGCUUGGCGCUCCAUAACUUUUGAGAGCCACUCCGUGGCUUCAUUUUGGCGUGCCAUGUUCUCCUUUUGGUCCCUCUUCUCGCUGUCCUGCCACUCCUUCAAUUCCUGUUUUUCGGCCACGGAGUGCAUCAUAACCUCAAACAAAGUCCUCUUUAGUUCUUCGUGCCCGCUUUCUAAUUCUGCACAGCCGUUCAGCCGGUGAUAACAGAGGGAGGUUGGGUUCCCACGGUCAUCUCUGUGAAGCCAAAAUGCAACAUUUUAUAGAAGCAGUAUUUUUUGCAACAAACAGAAACUGAUUCAGUGAUUUAAA